rnacentral:rRNA from 1 species
AUUCCGGUUGAUCCUGCCGGAGGCCAUUGCUAUCGGAGUCCGAUUUAGCCAUGCUAGUCGUACGGGUUAGACCCGUGGCGAAUAGCUCAGUAACACGUGGUCAAACUACCCUGUGGACGAGGACAACCUCGGGAAACUGAGGCCAAUCCUCGAUACGGCUUCUCACCUGGAGUGGGAGAAGCCGGAAAUGCCCCGGCGCCACAGGAUGUGACUGCGGCCGAUUAGGUAGACGGUGGGGUAACGGCCCACCGUGCCAGUAAUCGGUACGGGUGAUGAGAGUCAGCGCCCGGAGACGGUAUCUGAGACAAGAUACCGGGCCCUACGGGGCGCAGCAGGCGCGCAACCUUUACACUGCACGCGAGUGCGAUAGGGGGACUCCGAGUGCGAGGGCAUAUAGUCCUCGCUUUUCUGGACCGUAAGGAGGUCCAAGAAUAAGGGCUGGGCAAGACCGGUGCCAGCCGCCGCGGUAAUACCGGCAGCCCGAGUGAUGGCCGCGAUUAUUGGGCCUAAAGCGUCCGUAGCU